AAUCUUGUAAGUUAGCUGUUUUUACGGUGCUUUAGCAGUUUGUUUUCCCUAAUCCAUAAUGGUAGCUAUAAAAAUCCGAUUUGUCACGUGACCUCCGACUCCAAGAAUGUGCAACAUACCUGUCAACUGGACACUUGGACGUGGACCUAUGACGUAGAUCCGCGUUGUUAGAUAAAACGAGUUGUUUAGAAUAAAUGAUGCGAUGGGACAGGAAGAUGGAAUUUCAUAUUCAGUUCAAAAGCUGUCAAAAUAAAAUGGUGAAUUGAGUUUAAACCAGAAAAGAUAUAAACGUAAUCUUUGGGAUUCAACUUGUAAGGAUGUUCCAAGAACCACUUAGUUGGAGAAGGAAAACUGUGGCAGGAAUGUUUGACUGGAAAUAUAAACAAUGUUGUACAUAAUGCAGAUAGCUUAGGCAAAAAAGAGAUUGGUGAAAUGGAGAAUGAGACUAACUAGGGUGAAAAAAAAUGAAUAUUAAUAUGUGAAUGGUACUUUGUUUAACAUCUACCUGUUUCUACAGAUACAGUACAGACGCAUUUAUAAAUGGGCUUGAUGUUUUUUUGAAUUAAAUAUGUUGUAUUGA